GCCAGGCCCUGGCCGGGGGCCUUUCCAGACCACGGGGGAGCACAGGGGUGAUGGGGCAGGCCCAGCCCGAGCCAUUGGGUGUCAGCUGCCCUGUCUCAGAUGUGCCCUCGGCUCCAGGGGCUCCGCCCUCUGCCCCCAGCGUGGCUGCUGGCCUGGGCCUGGAGCUGUUUGCAAGGCUGUGUGAGGGAGGCGGGGGAUGGGGGGGGGACGGUCCAGCCCAGUCCUCGUGUGAAAAAUGGGUUUGUGAAGGCACAGGGGGAGGAAGCGACUCGCCCUGGCUCCCAGAGCCCCCCGCUGGGGGUCUGACGUGCUCCGGCCCCUCCCCCACAACAGGUACAUGCAGGAGCCAAGUCCCCCAGACAGGUGCCUGCAGGAGCCAAGUGAUUGCAGGACCUGGCUCCGUAUCACAGUGAUCUUUAACCCCCAACUUAUCCCACAGAGGUGUUUAAGUCCCACACGCAGCCGGUUCUCCGCGCCUCUGGGCCUCAGUCUCCUCACCUAUAAAUGGGUCAAUAGUCUGUCCAACCCAGGACGUGUGAGUGUGGUUACGCCUGAGCCCCACCUGCUUCCACCACAGGGGCACAGGCUCUAGGCAGUCCUAGGCCAGGCUGCCAGGUGGCCCCUGGGAGGCCGGGAGCAGGUUAGGCCACCAGGCCUGUUGGCUUGACCUCAUCUUUGCUAUAAUGGCCCUCGGUGACUCAGCACAGUACCAGGACGUCACAUGCGUCCUCUCUGAAGCCUCGGGAGUCCACGAUGUGCCUGGCCUGGGUGCCCCGGCCGACGGCCCCUCUGACCCCAGAGUCUGGGCUGGCAGCUACUCUGUCUUCCCUGAGCAUCACCACCAUGGUUCCAGGGCCACCCGGCUGCAUUUUUAAGAUGGGGAAACGGAAGCCAGGGAAAAGAGGCGACCUCCUCAUCAGCGUCGCCAUCACCAGUGCCCUCCCGGCUGCCACGGAUGGGCCGGGCAUGCCAGUGUCCUCAGCAUGCGUUCCCUUACGCUGUGCACUGCCGUCACCCUCGCAGUACGGAGGACAAUGUGAAGGCUCGGAAGUGAAGCCAUCACACAAGACCCGGGAGAGGGAUGGACAUUCUCAGAUGUCCCCAAAAGGAACCAGACGUCUUGCAGCUGCACCUGCGCCGCCGUGGCGAGUGACAGCUGUCCUCCAGGUGGGCACGGAACCAUCCUCUCCCAUCUCUCCUGCCCCCAGCCCAGCCCCAAGCCAGAGCGGAGAGGGCGU
rnacentral:lncRNA from 1 species